rnacentral:rRNA from 1 species
GCAAGCCGAGCGGUAGAAGAUCUUCGGAUCUUUGAGAGCGGCGCACGGGUGCGGAACACGUGUGCAACCUGCCUUUAUCAGGGGAAUAGCCUUUCGAAAGGAAGAUUAAUGCCCCAUAAUAUUUUGAAUGGCAUCAUUUAAAAUUGAAAACUCCGGUGGAUAAAGAUGGGCACGCGCAGGAUUAGAUAGUUGGUAGGGUAACGGCCUACCAAGUCAACGAUCCUUAGGGGGCCUGAGAGGGUGAUCCCCCACACUGGUACUGAGACACGGACCAGACUCCUACGGGAGGCAGCAGUGAGGAAUAUUGGACAAUGGGUGAGAGCCUGAUCCAGCCAUCCCGCGUGAAGGACGACGGCCCUAUGGGUUGUAAACUUCUUUUGUACAGGGAUAAACCUUUCCACGUGUGGGAAGCUGAAGGUACUGUACGAAUAAGCACCGGCUAACUCCGUGCCAGCAGCCGCGGUAAUACGGAGGGUGCAAGCGUUAUCCGGAUUUAUUGGGUUUAAAGGGUCCGUAGGCGGACUCGUAAGUCAGUGGUGAAAUCUCACAGCUUAACUGUGAAACUGCCAUUGAUACUGCGGGUCUUGAGUAUAGUUGAAGUAGCUGGAAUAAGUAGUGUAGCGGUGAAAUGCAUAGAUAUUACUUAGAACACCAAUUGCGAAGGCAGGUUACUAAACUAUAACUGACGCUGAUGGACGAAAGCGUGGGGAGCGAACAGGAUUAGAUACCCUGGUAGUCCACGCCGUAAACGAUGCUAACUCGUUUUUGGGUUUUCGGAUUCAGAGACUAAGCGAAAGUGAUAAGUUAGCCACCUGGGGAGUACGUUCGCAAGAAUGAAACUCAAAGGAAUUGACGGGGGCCCGCACAAGCGGUGGAUUAUGUGGUUUAAUUCGAUGAUACGCGAGGAACCUUACCAAGGCUUAAAUGGGAAUUGAUUGGUUUAGAAAUAGACCGUCCUUCGGGCAAUUUUCAAGGUGCUGCAUGGUUGUCGUCAGCUCGU